rfam:Staphylococcus pettenkoferi VCT012 contig00008, whole genome shotgun sequence.
GGGGGCGUUCUUGGAUUCGACAGGGGUCCCCCGAGCUUAUUAAGCGUGUCGAAGGGCUGUCUCCGUCAUCAACACAUUCAGUUAAUAAUAACUGGCAAAUCAAACGAUAAUUUAGCAGUAGCUGCGUAAUAGCCACUGCAUCGCCUAACAGCAUUUCCUAUGUGCUGUUAACGCGAUUCAACCCUAAUAGGAUACGCUAGGCACUGCCGUUUGAAGUCUGCCUAGAGGAGAUUCAAUCAAACUAGCAUCAUGUUGGUUGUCUGUUCCCUAGCAUGAUGUGAAAUUUUCGAAUAGACUACACACGUAGAAAGAUUUGUAUCAGGACCUCUGGACGCGGGUUCAAAUCCCGCCGCCUCCAUAC